GCCACUGAUCUUCAUCUCCGCCGACGCUGAUCAUCAUUGCUUUAAUCGGACGAUUCCAAAAACCGAGUACACAUGCACCCACCCUUUUACAACUGAUACCAUCGCCUGCCCCGAAUCCAGGUACGGCGAUAAACAUCACAUCCAGAUCCGGCGAAAACCAUCGCGAAAUCGAUAGCGGCAACUGAGGUAAUCCCUUUCUUUCCUGAAUCGCAGCAGGUACCGAUAUCGUCUCCCACAUCGGUUAACCACCAUCGUCACCACAAUCACCGUCGCUCGCUACGUGUAAAACCCUAGCCUUGCCUAGCACCUGCCCUAAUCGAACACUAGGGCGUCGGAAUCAUCAUCACCCAAUCGGGUAUAACAACACCAGGAACCUGCUGUUGGAAUGCACCAAAUUUACAGAUUCUAGGUCUAAGCAUUCGCAUGAGGGAAGGGCGGAGUUUUUGGCUGAGUUGUCGAUUAUGGCGUGUGAUAAGAAUCUUGUCCUACUCCAAGGAUGGUGUGUUGAAAAAGGCGAGUAUAUGUCAUUUGGGAGUAUUGAUUAAGUGGUGUUGUAUCAAGAGUCUGGACAUUGGUGGUUCUUGAAAUGGAACCAUAGGUAUAAUAUUGAAGUUAGGUUGGCUUCAGUUUUGGCAUACCUUCAUCAAUAGUGCGAUCAAAAAGUGAUUCAUCGCGAUAGUAAAUCGAGUAAUGUGAUGCUAAUUUUAAUUCUCGGUUAGGUGAUUUCGGGCUGGCCCAGAUCAUGGACCAUGAUAAAAGCAUGGUCUCUACACUAAUUGCGGGGAUCAUGGGUUAUUUA